CGGUCCGUUUCCGGGGUGGAGCCAGGGAGGGCGGGAGUUUAGGCUGCACCGACCCCCCUCAGCCCCCCUCCAGGAGACGCUCGGAGCCCAGGACAUGCCGGGAUUGAGGAGAUACGAGGUGGCGCUGGAGGCGGAGGAGGAGAUCUACUGGGGCUGUUUCUACUUUUUCCCCUGGCUGCGAAUGUGGCGGAGAGAAAGAAAUGAGGGCGCUGCGGCGCUGCGGCCCCUCCUGAGUCCCAAAGGUCUGCCCAUUCUCAAGGAGAGAGGAAACAGAUGCCAUCGCCGAAUGAUGAAAUGACAAGUUUCAGGAAGAUCAUGUCAAGCUAUUGUGGCCAAUUUUUUGGAAAAUAUAAUAAGCCUUGAUUGUCUUUCCUCAAUCAUGGUUCAUCCUGAGGAACUGGGCAUGUUACAUCCCUGAAUUAAAGUUAGGAUUCAUCAUAUAUUGCUGGUCAGAAUGGGAAAUGGUACAGUUACAGUGGAAAACUGUUGGUUCCUCAAAAAGUUAAACAUGGCAUUACCAUUUGACCCAGCGAUUACACUCUUAUGUAUAUUCCCAAGAGCACUGAAAACAGGAGUUCAAGCAAAACUUUGUACAUGAAUAUUCAUUUAAACAUCAUUCAUAAUAGCUUAAAAGUAGAAAUAAUUCAAGUUGCUAUCAACUCAUGAGUGGAUUAAAGAAAUGUAGUUUAUCCAUACGCUAUUUAUGUAUGGUUUUCAUGGAAGAAUAUCAUUUGGCCAUAAAAAGAAACAUAUACAGUAGGUUCCACAGCAUGGAUGAAACUUGAAUACAUUAAGCUACAGGAAAGAAGCCAGAUGCAAAAGGCCAUAAGUUAUAUGAUUCUGUCUAUGUGAAGUGUUCAGAAUAGGACAGUUCAUAGGAACAGAAAACAGUUACUGGUUCCCAGGGACUGGAAGGAAAAUAGAAUGGGAAUCGAAUGCCUAGUGACUGCAGUGUCAUCCUUGUGGGGGUGAGAUAUAAAAAUAUUCUGGAAUUAUUGGUGAUGGCUGCCCAGUGAUAUGAACAUACUAAAACCCACUGAUUUGCAUACUAUAAAAUGGUUCAAUGGUAGAUCUUUCCUCAGCUUUUUAAAAAAGGUUUCAGUUGGCUAGGAAGCAGUGAGAGAGUGACAAUUGGAAGCCAAAUUUCUGUUUUAGGAAGAAGAGGAACCCCGUUGGCCUGAAAGAGUCUUUAUUUCCCUUUACCUGCAAGGAGAACAGGAAGCAGCACCUGGCUCCUGGCUUCAGAUCGGCGUAGCUCCGGGCGUUGCGGCCAUUUGGGGACUGAACCAACGAAAGGAAGACCUUUCUCUCUGUCUCUCUCUCUGUCUGUAACUUUACCUGUCAAAUAAAUAAAUAAAAUCUUUAUUUCCCUUU